rnacentral:rRNA from 1 species
UACGAAGGGUGCAAGCGUUACUCGGAAUUACUGGGCGUAAAGCGUGCGUAAGUGGUUUUUUAAGUCCGUUGUGAAAGCCCUGGGCUCAACCUGGGAAUGGCAGUGGAUACUGGAAAGCUAGAGUGCGGUAGAGGGUAGUGGAAUUCCCGGUGUAGCAGUGAAAUGCGUAGAGAUCGGGAGGAACACCAGUGGCGAAGGCGGCUACCUGGACCAGCACUGACACUGAGGCACGAAAGCGUGGGGAGCAAACAGG